rnacentral:tRNA from 1 species
UAGGCUAGAGCUAGAAGAGUAUUUUAUUUACAUUAAAAAGGUUAUUGAUAAAAUAUAGCUUAA